CGCACUGGAGGACCGAACCGUUCAAUGUUGAAAAAUUGUCGGAUGAGUUGUGCUUAGGGGUGAAAGGCCAAUCAAGCCGGGAAAUAGCUGGUUCUCCGCGAAAUCUAUUGAGGUAGAGCGUCGAAUGAUUGCCGUUGGGGGUAGAGCACUGGAUGGAUGCGGGGGUCGCGAGAUCUACCAACUCUAACCAAACUCCGAAUACCAACGAGUCUAGUUCGGCAGACAGACGGCGGGUGCUAAGGUCCGUCGUCAAAAGGGAAACAGCCCUAACCUACAGCUAAGGUCCCCAAGUCAUCACUAAGUGGGAAAGCAUGUGGGAUUUCCAAAACAACCAGGAGGUUGGCUUAGAAGCAGCCAUCCUUUAAAGAAAGCGUAACAGCUCACUGGUCUAAAUAAGAGAUCCUGCGGCGAAGAUGUAACGGGGCUAAAGUGAUGCACCGAAGCUUAGGGUUCAGAUCUUUGAUCUGAGCGGUAGCGGAGCGUUCCGUAGGCCGUUGAAGCGAUCUGGUAAUGGGUCGUGGAGGUAUCGGAAGUGCGAAUGCAGACAUGAGUAGCGAUUAACAGUGUGAGAUGCACUGUCGCCGAAAUUCCAAGGGUUCCUGCUUAAAGCUAAUCUGAGCAGGGUAAGCCGGCCCCUAAGACGAGCCCGAAGGGGGUAGUCGAUGGGAACCACGUUAAUAUUCGUGGGCCUGGUGGUGUGUGACGGAUGCCGUAAAUUGUUCGGGCUUAUUGGAUUGCUCCGGGCAGUGAAGGGGUCCCAGGAAAUAGCCCCACCGUAUAGACCGUACCCUAAACCGACACAGGUGGAAUGGUAGAGUAUACCAAGGCGUUUGAGAGAAGUAUCCUGAAGGAACUCGGCAAAUUGCCUCCGUACCUUCGGAAGAAGGAGGCCCCAUCUAAACGCAAGUUCUGAUGGGGGGCACAGGCCAGGGGGUAGCGACUGUUUAGCAAAAACACAGGGCUCUGCUAAGUCGGCUUCAAGACGACGUAUAGGGCCUGACGCCUGCCCGGUGCCUGAAGGUUAAGAGGAGGAGUGCAAGCUCUGAAUUGAAGCCCAGGUAAACGGCGGCCGUAACUAUAACGGUCCUAAGGUAGCGAAAUUCCUUGUCGGGUAAGUUCCGACCUGCACGAAUGGCGUAACGACUUCCCCACUGUCUCCAGGAUAUGCUCAGCGAAAUUG
rnacentral:rRNA from 1 species